rnacentral:misc_RNA from 1 species
UCCGGUUUGUCACCGGCAGUCUCAUUAGAGUGCCCUUUCGUAGCAACUAAUGACAAGGGUUGCGCUCGUUGCGGGACUUAACCCAACAUCUCACGACACGAGCUGACGACAGCCAUGCAGCACCUGUGUGCCAGUUCCCUUUCGGGCACCCCCGCAUCUCUGCAGGAUCCUGGCCAUGUCAAGGGUAGGUAAGGUUUUUCGCGUUGCAUCGAAUUAAUCCACAUCAUCCACCGCUUGUGCGGGUCCCCGUCAAUUCCUUUGAGUUUUAAUCUUGCGACCGUACUCCCCAGGCGGUCAACUUCACGCGUUAGCUGCGUUACCAAGUCAAUGAAGACCCGACAACUAGUUGACAUCGUUUAGGGCGUGGACUAC